GGGCAGGGUUACUUACAGGGGCUGACUCCACAGAGGACCAUGGUGGGACCUAUUAAGCCUAACUUCCUCACUCUCCUUCUCCCUCUGACAGAGUAACCUUUCUCCUUCAGAAGUUGUACAGUGGUCCAACCACAGGGUGAUGGAGUGGUUACGAUCUGUGGACCUGGCAGAGUAUGCACCCAAUCUUCGAGGGAGUGGAGUCCAUGGAGGCCUCAUUGUGAGUGGCUCUCUGGCCUAGCCCACCUGCCUUGGUGCAAAUGGGAUAUUCAGAAACUUAUUUAUUAAGGACAAGACAUAAAAGCUAACAACAAAAAAAAAAUAGGUACUUCAUCUGGAGGUCUUGCAUAAUUUGAUUUCUCAAAGUAUUUUGAUAACUUGUCCUUGAGAAUUAAUAUACCUCAUGGAAGCAAGAUGCCUUCUGGCAGCACCUCCUUGGCACGAGACUUGAGGAUUCUAGGUCAAUGGGUUGCAUGGAGACCAAUGCUUACAAGGCAGGUCUGCCUGUCCCUGAGGGAACAGCAGGGCUGAGGAAGGGACGGGGAAGCCAUAAAAAUGCAGCUUCCCACUUGGUGCAAUAUGAUCCCUAUCACUACUCAGAUCUGUCAGUGGCAAAGCCAGAGGGGAAAUGAGGAAGUGUGGUGGCUUGGAUGUCAUCCAGAGAAGAUCCUGAGAGACAGCCUCACCAAAGAGGUCCCAGUUCUCUGCUGGUCUGUGAAAACAAGGUGGUCAGUCAGCAAAUGUGCUAGUAUGUGCUCAGAGCCAGGCCCUGUGCCAGCCAGUGAGUGGAGUGGGACUCAGAACAAGUGACUGAGCUCCUGCCCCUCCUCUGGAGGCACCCCCAGUCCCAACAGGCCAGUCUCUCAGCAUCCUCCCCCUCGAGCCAUUUGUAUUUGCUCCUGGCCAGGCUUGUCUCUGGUUCCUUCUUAGAUCCUGGAGCCACGCUUCACUGGGGACACCCUGGCUAUGCUUCUCAAUAUCCCCCCACAAAAGACGCUCCUCAGGCGCCACCUGACCACCAAGUUCAAUGCCUUGAUUGGUCCGGAGGCUGAACAGGAAAAGCGAGAGAAAAUGGCCUCACCAGCUUACACACCACUGACCACCACAGCCAAAGUCCGGCCAAGGAAACUAGGAUUUUCACACUUUGGAAACAUAAGAAAAAAGAAGUUCGAUGAAUCGACGGACUACAUUUGCCCAAUGGAGCCCAGUGACGGUGUCAGUGAUAGUCACAGGGUCUACAGUGGCUACCGGGGCCUUAGCCCCCUUGAUGCCCCUGAACUGGAUGGGCUGGACCAGGUGGGACAGAUUAGCUGAUGCCCUUGUCACCUGCCCUCUGUGCACCCUGAGAGCUCACAGUAACACUGUGUGUGUCACCAUAUAACUGCACCUCACCCCCACACGUGUGCAUGACUGGCAGAGAAUAUUCCAGCAAUUGUGUACCCCUGGGCCAGUCUCUCUUUGAACCCUGAGGGUGGCCAGGAUCUGGAGCUGCAUCUCUAAGGGGCCAGGCUUUGGGGACCAUUGCCAAAGGUGGACUCAGGAGGAAAGACACUUAAAGACACUUUUACAUGUCUAGUAAUUCUUGAUGUUCAUCUUCAGCACCAGUGGAAACACAUGAACUUCGAUGCAGGUCCAGAGACCAUGGACACUCCCACGAGGCUCAGCUCUCAGGCACCCCCUACACUUCAGUUGAGGGAAAAGCUCAAGUGCCUUAGGCCCAUGGGCCACAGUCUUGGCUGAGAUCAAAGGGAUGAGCAACAGGGACUUCUGCCACAGUGACAAUGGAAUUGUGCUGUGCCUUACUUCAGAGGUGGUCUCUUCUUUCUUGUAAUAAAAGCAAUAUUUAUGCGGAAAGCAAGCAGCGCA
rnacentral:sRNA from 1 species